AUGUUUGUAAAUAACAUCCCUGGGACCUGGGCCCUCGCCUGGAUGAAGCAAGAUGCCACAAAUGAGCUGUCCCACACUGCUAAGCACUGUGCAGAGCAGGGUGGCCACUGCCAGCAUCCCUCUGGUCCCCACACUGCAGAUGCAGGAGCAAGGCAGGACAGAGCUGGGCUGGCAGGCCAGGGGUCUGGGCUGGGGGGUGAAGGUGGGAAUGUGCAGGACAUGGAGCCUGCCUGUGGAAGUGGAGAAACCAUGGGCAUGCCAGAGACGUGGGGUGACACGGUGAAAGGGGUUGCUGAAGGCUCAGAUUAAGUCCUGGAGAAAACAGAGUCUAAGCAGGAAUAAUUCCCUCUCUGUCUGCAUGUGUCCAGAUGUUCAAGUGCCUGUCUUGGCUGAAUGCCCUCCAGCAACAGCCCCAAGCAACAACAGCUCCCACAGCUCCCUGCCCUGUGACACAGACACCAACCCAGGGUAACUGCACUAAAAACACUGGUCUUAAUGCAGACACCUGAGGCAAAGUUUAAUCCCUUCUGUUCUCUUCCCAGCAUAUGGUUUCUAUUUGUCUGCAGCCCUUCUGCACUCAGAUGGGCAUGUCCUGGGUACAUGCUGUUUACCUUAUUUGUCUGCAGCCCUUCUGCACUGGGAUGGGCAUGUCCUGGGUACAUGCUGUUUACCUACAAGGAAUCCUAAGCAUUUAGUGGCAUGCCAGCAUUGGGCAGUCACUGCUGUGCUGGAGCUGCCCUUGGCUCUGGGCUCUGAUGUGAUAUCCUGUCUCAGCAGUUGCCAGUACUCUGGUCUUCCCAUCCUCUUGAGCCAUCUGAGUUUGCAAUAUUCAUUUGAGGGUGACCUGAGGCCACAUCAAUUCGUGUCAGUUUGCAAAGACCAGACAGUCCAGGCAGGGCUGUACUACCGUAGUAACUGGGCUACUGGACACCUGGACACAAUCUCUGAGUGGAAAGAGAGGACACGUCUGAAAAGUCAUGGAAGUAUGGAAUUCCUAAAAGAAUGGAUCAGCAACACAAAGGAUCUACCCAACCAUGGCACAGGAGAUGCAGGUCCUGCCCUCCUUCCUGAGUGCCCAGACACUGUGGUGACAUUCUGUGUCUCUCUUGUCCUGCUGAUCCUUGUCAUGUGCCCCCAGCCCUGCGUUGAUAUAGGCCGUGUAGGAAGUACUUUAAAAUGCAGGGAAGAUACAGCACUUAACCAACAGGGGAAGCAGAAACCACUGGACAAGCAAGAAACAGCUGGACUAAUGAGCAUGGAUUUGGAAAACCCUAAUUCAUCUUAUUAUUACUUGCAUAUUAAAGCUAUCUGCAAAUGAUGUCUCAAUGCCUUAUUUUCUCCUCUGCA
rnacentral:lncRNA from 1 species